rnacentral:lncRNA from 1 species
UAGUUUGGAGCUGUGGAGUGUUUACUAACCAUUUUACUUUAAAACCCAUUCAGGCUGCCAUGGAAGAAAAAGAUUCUGUUGUGAAGAAAGCAGUAAGAAUGAAAGUUAUACCGACAUUCCAACUAGAAGAACUGAACAUAGAAGUGACAUUAAAGGAAGAUUUGAGAAGACGUGAUGACAGUGAAAACAGCCAGGACCAGGUAAGUAAAAAUGUAAAUUUAUAUGCCUAGUUUAACAUUGUUUUGUUUUCUUUAAUAAUAUAGUAUAAGCCAAAUGAAAUGACUUUUCUGACUCACAUUUUAGAA